UAAACAGCCGAUGUGUAGACGCCAU
rnacentral:piRNA from 1 species